UCAAAGUAUUUCGACAUGCUAGUUUUUAUCAUAUCGCAAAAUGUGGUAUUGCUACAGCGGAGUAAAACAAAAAGAGUUACAUCGAUAGCACGAUAUAUUUUUUUGUAAGAUCAGGACAAAUAAUGAAGCUUAAAUUUCAUUAGUCGAAGACCUUUAACGAAUUUUCACGAAUUUCUCGUCCGAUUGGUUCUGAAACAACAACCAAAUUCAAAAGAAUCGCAGUCAAGAAUAUUGGACAAUGAGCGAAAGCUUGAUCCAGUAACUUUGAAUAGGCACAAAAAUCUUUUUUCUAACCUACAAAACUUUAAAAUUAUGAUUAUUGUGUGGUAGUUGUCUCUAAUCACGUGCCAGAAGAGUCGGUAAUACGUGAGCAACAAACGUUAUGCAAAAAGACUAGGUUUACAUAGCAAUUAGAGGAAGAUAUCCCGUAGAAAGAAAACUCAACGAUUAUUGAGUUUUUAAGAAUAAAUGAUAUCUUUCGAGUAAUACCGAUGAAAAUAGAAUGAAUCAAUUAACGAUAAAAUGUGUUUAGUUGAUUUGGAAUAUCAUUCAGUGAAGACAAUUUUCGACGUAUAACAAACAAUAGAGUUUCUCUCUUUGUUUACUGACCUUUUUAUUGCGGAAGCUUGAGGAGCAACAAGAGUUAGUCAUUCUUUUAGUUCAAGCCGUCAACGAUGACUUUCUUUAUUCAAAACUUUUUGGAUAAACAGCAAAAGCAGAAAAGUUAACCUGAAUAGUAAAAACGCAAGUUCUAUCCUCAAAGAACUCGGUGAGCUGAGACACUAUUUGUGGAGCAUUGCGAAUUAAUUGGACACCACACCCAAACCUUAUCUUUGCUUGUAUAAUGCGAUAUUUAAACUAGCUUUGUAAAAUGUUACAAAAUUUUCCGCAUUACAAAUGUUGCAUGGUUGUCGAGCAGAUCUUAUUUUAAAAUGUUUGGUUAAUUCCAAUAAAGAUCGAACCUUUUUUUCUUAUUUUCUAAUCUAAAGAAAAGAUUUACCAUAAGAAUAUCAAUAUCUAUAAGAUUUAUGAAAAGAAAACGACGACUAAAUCUUUAUGACUUUUAUGCGAAGAGCUUUACGUGUGCUAUAAUGAAACGAUCAAAAAGUUACUUGAUACUAUAAUUUCUGGUUAAUCUAUAACGUGUUUCCCAGUUCGGAUUAUUUCUUGCAAUUUAGAAGUAUGAAGUCAGAAUAAAAAGUAAUGGAAGACAAGAAUGCUUCCGUGAAAAAAAACCUCUCAGUUGCACGUUUCGCCCAUCACCUCGAGAAAUUUCGUUUCGAUUGAAGCUAAAAACAAUACCUUGAAACAUCGGUAUGUUUUACUGUGACAUUGGAUCCUAUAAUUUCGAGCAAGUUGUAACAAAGUAGCUGUUGAUGAAUCAGUAGCUGGAACAAGAUUUAACAAAUCGAUUAUAA
rnacentral:ncRNA from 1 species